rnacentral:lncRNA from 10 species
GAGACACCCAGGUGCGUGCGUCUUUCAAGCAACCUUCUCGGCCACUUGAGGGCUUUUCUCACAACUUAACUGCAAAAUACAAAGCUCGCGACACCCCGGUUUUGAAUGUGUCUCCUGGGAUUGAUAUUUGGUGCCAUUUAUUGACGAGGCAGAAGGAGGGUGAGAGCCUUUUUAGGACUGCUGAAAGAGAGCCUGCUGAUCCUGACAAGAUCAAAAUGACCCUUGAAACCGUUUGAUAAUGGGCUGAACUCAGAGCACUUUGUUGCUCUCUCUACAUGGUGCCUUUCUGUUGCAAUGUAAGCGGCAGGAAAAGAAAGGGGAUCUGCACAAAAUCCACCCAGAAGCGGAAGUGUGCCUCUUCCCAAGCUUGAACUUCUUCAGUGAGAAAUUCUCCAUGUCCUACACAACAUUUCGAGGAACACUGCUUCCUUUAUCUCAGCCCCCGAGGAGCACCUCGAGCCUUUUCUCUCAGCGGGGAACAACCUGCCAGAAUAAUGGAAUGGAGAGUAGAGUGUUGUGUUGGAUUUCUUCUGACGCUGAUGGAGUGAGCACAUGCCGGAGGUUGCCUGUGGGUUUCCCAUCCCUUCUACAAAUGAAUUGGGCUGGGAGGGGUGCAGGGUGGCUCCUCCAGCCAGAAUGGAGUGAAGAGCUGCUCUUCCGCUCCGCCAUCUGGGUAAAGCUGAACAACCGUGGCCGAGCCUAGUCUUGAGCCUUAGUCAAAGGAUCUGUGGUUGGAUAAUCCCCCAAAUAGUUGAAAGCUGUUUAAGGCUCAAGAAAACACUAAAAGGGGAUUGCAUUCAUUUCUCAGAGCAAAGCUUACACAAAUCUCUCCCUAAGGAGGACCAGCUACAUAAUUUGCGGAGCCCAGUGCAAAGUGAAAAUGCAGAGCCCUUUAUUUAAAAAUUAUAAGAAUUUCCAGAGAGCAACAGCAGAGCAUUAAACAAGGUGCAGAGCCCUUUGGAGGCUGGGCCCUGUGUGAUUGCACAGGGUGCAUGCCCAGGAAACCAGUGGUGCCCUGGGCUUCUAUCUCAUCACCAGCAUCCUCUCUCUCUCUCUCUCUCUCAGACACAAGGGGGCUACCUCAAGUAUCUGUCCUCUCCUUCUUCCAAGUGUCCCCCACAUUCUUUCCCAAGCCAGUUCUGCAGAAACCUACCUAGUCUUUCUCUAUAUGACUCCAUCUCCGUGUGUUAUCCCAUAGCUCCACUUGGCCUCUUGCCUCCUUCACUCUCCCCUAUUUACCUGGCCCAGAUUCAGUGCUAUAAAGAAUAUUGCAGCUCAUGAGAUCUAGUCUUCCUUAUAGGCAGAGGCAUGAGGGAGAGGUUUAGAACACUUAAGUAUAUCUGUUAGUACUUUAUUUAUUCAUAUGUGUUCAUUAUUGACAUGUAUCAUUUGUUAUCAAGUGUUGGCGGUUAUUUGCCAUCCAUAAAAUGCAACUGCUUUCUAGCUCUGAGAAUUUCUGUUCUAAAGUAGGCAACAAAGAUGAUGAUAGAUAGAUAGCAGCUAUUAUGCACCCACUAUGUGCUUGCUAGUAAAGGUCCUGAACCUUUUACACACAUUAGCUCCUUUAGUCCUCCCUGCCAUGUGAGGGAUUUAUUAAUAUUAUUUCCAUGUGUGCAUGAGGAACUGGAGCUUAGAGAGGCUGUGGACUUGUCCUCUUUCACAGCCCCACCAUCUGGUUCUCCAGCUUGGGUUCUUGGUCCUAUCAAGCUAUGCUGCAAACAAAUGAGAAUGAUUAGCUGUUCUCCCCACACUGCCUCUCUGCCAGGCAUAAAUAGAUUCUUAAUUAAUAUUUGCUGAAUAAAUGAAUGUGUUAGUUAUUAGGUAAGACAAGGAGAUGAAGAUGAAAACAUAUAAAAUAGAAAAGAAUAGGCUAAUUCUGGUCAGAGAACUGUGUACAAGUUCCAGUAAUUCCUUAAUUCUCUUGUUCGUGGAGAUUUAAGUAGCAAUUGCUGAACAUCCCCUUCUGUUUGGGGGAUCAGAGGCCUGGUCCAGUUCAUCUUUAGAUUCCCCACAGGCCUCACAUGGCACCAACUAGCUGCUCAACUAAUUCCCUUAAUUGAAUUAAUUUGAAUUGAAUGGAAUUAAAUUGAAUCAGAACUUUUUUUGUAAGAAGCUGGCUUUAAGCAGAGAGAGAUUUAAAUGUAGAUUAAACAGGCUCAAUCACUCUUUAGAAGUACACAAAAUAACUGUGAACAGACCCCAAACAACUUCAGAUACCAAGCCUUCCAUAAAAGCUUCCAAGCCUCCAGGUACCUGGCCUGAGCUUGCUCAUUUUCCAACAGUGAUUAAGGGGUUACAUGAAGUCUUUAAAUUCUGCCACACUCCCAUGAAUGGGUAUUAAAUAAUAUUCCUUUAAGCUACCGGAACUGCUGCAUGGGGAUUCUGCCUCAUCUUUAUGGAUGCGUUGUCAUAAUUUCUAGAAUUAUAGAACUCAACUCAUACCUCCAUAUAUCCCAAGGAAACAAUAUAAGAAGUUUUUCUUCCCUCUCAGCUCAGAGCAUAUAAAAUGAUCUCUCACUACUCUGAAUUAGAGCAGAUGAAUUUAAAGACACUUUCUUGAAUAAACCUCUGGGUUGGGCUUAGGGGAUAAGUUCACUGUUCUGGCAGGCCUCUGUUUCCAAGGAAAACACAAAGGUGAGAAUGUUGUGCACCGAGACUGAGAUGUUCCACACACCACUGGCUGCCUUACCUCUUGCCCCAAACAGCACAAGGAGAGGGAGACAGUAUUGCUCUCAAAAGCUGGUAGUUGGAGGCAUCCCCUCCCCUCUAUUUCUUCCCCUGCCCAUACCCUGUUCCUUGGCCCCCACCCCUUGUAAUUCACAAAGCAAGAUCCAAACCAGGUUCUAACAUAGUCCUGUAAGAUGGGAGCAGCAGUCAUCUUGGUCACCACUCACCCCAUACAAACACACUGUCCAAGAUACAGAAACCAAAGUACAGCUCAGGUAAGUAGCACUAUGGUCUCACACCAGGCACUGUCAAAGUGCAGGGAUUCACACCUCAAAUGUUUCAGUCACUAUUCAGUAAGUUGAGAUUUUUUCCAAUUGGACCCUCAGGCUCACAUCCCCAAAUCCCUAGACAAACCCAGUAAAGACAUAGGAACCUGCAUCAUUAUUGUGUCUCCCAAUUAUUGAGAGCUUACUAUCUGCAAGGAUAAGUAGCAUGCUCAAGGUUCUGUGGACAGCUCAAGAUCCCAUGCAAAGUCCAAGGUCCCAUGGGCAGCUCCAGGUCCCAUGUAUAGCAGGAGGCAAAAACGGAACUGGAGCCCAGGUCCAUCUGACCCCAAGGGCAUAUAUAAAAGCACUGAAGUAUGUUGCCUUUCUAUAGAAACAUUAACCCUUCAGCAGAUAGCUGUUGAAUGAUUGUAGAUGAAACUGAUCUUGGAGGAGAGAGAGUAGAGCAAUCAUUUACAAAGAAAAAGGGAACUGAUCCAUGGGUUGGUCUAUCCUAAGGGCUCUGUUCAUGCCCCAACUUCCAGAAUGGGGAGUCCAGGCACCUCCUGGUGCUUCCCUCCUUCAACCAGGUGUGCGUGUGCACACACAUCCACACAAACACACCCCAG